rnacentral:rRNA from 1 species
GUUACUUCGGUACGAUCGGUGACAGGUGGUGCAUGGUUGUCGUCAGCUCGUGUCGUGAGAUGUUGGGUUAAGUCCCGCAACGAGCGCAACCCUUAUCAUUAGUUGCUACGCAAGGGCACUCUAAUGAGACUGCCGGUGACAAACCGGAGGAAGUGGGGAUGACGUCAAGUCCUCAUGGCCCUUAUGGGUAGGGCUUCACACGUCAUACAAUGGUCGGUACAGAGGGUUGCCAAGCCGCGAGGCGGAGCCAAUCCCACAAAGCCGAUCGUAGUCCGGAUUGUUCUCUGCAACUCGAGAGCAUGGAGUCGGAAUCGCUAGUAAUCGCAGGUCAGCAUACUGCGGUGAAUACGCUCCCGGGUCUU